rnacentral:rRNA from 1 species
UACGUAGGGGGCAAGCGUUGUCCGGAUUUAUUGGGCGUAAAGAGCGUGUAGGCGGUUUGGUAGGUCCGCUGUGAAAACUCGAGGCUCAACCUCGAGACGCCGGUGGAAACCAUCAGACUAGAGUGCGGUAGGGGAGACUGGAAUUCCUGGUGUAGCGGUGAAAUGCGCAGAUAUGCGGAGGAACACCGAUGGCGAAGGCAAUCCCCUGGGCCUGCACUGACGCUCAUGCACGAAAGCGUGGGGAGCAAACAGG